rnacentral:lncRNA from 1 species
CCCAGGUCGAGGUUUUACUGAAGGAGCGUGAUGACGCGAGGAGGGAGGCUGCAAAGGCCAGGGAUGACUUGGUUGCAGCAAAGGAUGAGGUUGAGGGGGCGAGGCUCGAGCUCAUCCAGAAGACAGAGGAUUUCGGGCGCGAGCUCAAGGCUGUCAGGGAGAGGGCUUGGGAGGAGUUUAAAACCUCCGAGGACUGCGACAAGAUAAAAGGAGAGUAUGCGUCAGGGGCGUACUUCCAUGCUCUGAAAGAAGCCCGGGCCUUCCUCAGGCAGAAGUUGCCCGACGUCACUCCAGACGACCUGAAGACGGUGCCUUCCAUUGCUGAUACAUUGGAGCUCUCGGGUUCGGAAGAUGGAGGAGGGUCGGGUGGAGAUGAUGAGGAAGGUCUUGAGGACGACGUUGAGAUCGACAUCAGCAACCUCGACCCUCCUCUUGGCCACAUUGGAUGACUUCCCCACCCCGAUCCUUUGUAAUUUUUUGGUUUAAUUUUGACAAUGUAAAUUGAUCGAGGAUUAUGUAUAAACUUUAGUUAAUUUAUUCGAACUAUUUAUCUCGACCCCUUGGACUUCAUACAAUCGAGCAAACAAAUUGGAAACUUACUGCUCGCGCGAUAUUGAAGUGUUUACUCGAGGAUUCCACAACUCGAACGUAUUUAAGGGAUUAAAAGGUGAGACGUACAUUCUCGAGCACAAAUAAUAAAAAAAAUAUGAUGACAUUCUCGAGGACUGUAAGCCUCGAGCACAAUUAAUCUUAAAAAAUGAGCCAUUCUCGAGGACUGUAAUCCCGAGCACCACUGGACUUUAAAAUUUAAUUGUGACAUUCUCGAGGCCUGUCUCCCGAGCACAACUAAACUUUAAAAUUUAAUUGUGACAUUUUCGAGGACUGUAAUCCCGAGCACAACUGGACUUUGAAAUUUAAUUGUGACAUUCUCGAGGACUGUCUCCCGAGCACAACUAAACUUUAAAAUUU